rnacentral:rRNA from 1 species
GACGAACGCUGGCGGCGUGCUUAACACAUGCAAGUCGAACGGACAGGCCCUGCUUUUGUGGGGUGCUCGUUUGGCGAACGGGUGAGUAACACGUGUGUAACCUGCCCUUGACUUUGGGAUAACUUCUGGAAACUGGGGCUAAUACCGGAUAGGAUCUCCUGCUGCAUGUUGUUGGUUGGUAAGUUUCGGCCGUUGGGGAUGGACUCGCGGCUUAUCGGCUAGUUUGUGGGGUAGUGGCUUCCCAAGGGUUUGACGGGUAGCCGGCCUGAGAGGGGGACCGGGCACAUUGGGACUGCGGUACGGCCCAGAAGCCUACGGGAGGCAGUAGUGGGGAAUAUUGCGCAAUGGGCGGGAGCGUGAUACAGAGGCGCCGGGAGCGGGAUGACGGGCUUCGGGUUGUAAACCGCUUUCGAAUGUGAUGAAGACGGAGUGACGGUAAUGAGUAAAGAAGCACCGGCUAACUACGUG